rnacentral:pre_miRNA from 1 species
GGUAUUUAAAAGGUGGAUAUUCCUUCUAUGUUUACGUGAUUCUGAGUUAAUCAUAGAGGAAAAUCCAUGUUUUCAGUAUC